GGCCAAGUUUUUAAGGGCGCACGGUGGAUGCCUUGGCACCAGGAACCGAUGAAGGACGUGGGAGGCCACGAUAGUCCCCGGGGAGUCGUCAACCAGGCUUUGAUCCGGGGGUUUCCGAAUGGGGAAACCCGGCAGUCGUCAUGGGCUGUCACCCUUGUCUGAACACAUAGGGCAAGUGGAGGGAACGCGGGGAAGUGAAACAUCUCAGUACCCGCAGGAAGAGAAAACAACCGUGAUUCCGGGAGUAGUGGCGAGCGAAACCGGAUGAGGCUAAACCGUAUACGUGUGAGACCCGGCAGGGGUUGCGUAUGCGGGGUUGUGGGAUCUCUCUUCCACGGUCUGCCGGCCGUGGGACGAGUCAGAAACCGUUGAUGUAGGCGAAGGACAUGCGAAAGGUCCGGCGUAGAGGGUAAGACCCCCGUAGUCGAAACAUCAGCGGCUCGUUUGAGAGACACCCAAGUAGCACGGGGCCCGAGAAAUCCCGUGUGAAUCUGGCGGGACCACCCGCUAAGCCUAAAUAUUCCCUGGUGACCGAUAGCGGAUAGUACCGUGAGGGAAUGGUGAAAAGUACCCCGGGAGGGGAGUGAAAUAGUACCUGAAACCGUGUGCCUACAAGCCGUGGGAGCGUCGGAUGGAAGCUUGCUUCCAUCUCGUGACUGCGUGCCUUUUGAAGAAUGAGCCUGCGAGUUUGCGGUGUGUUGCGAGGUUAACCCGUGUGGGGAAGCCGUAGCGAAAGCGAGUCCGAAUAGGGCGUUUCAGUAGCACGCUCAAGACCCGAAGCGGAGUGAUCUAGCCAUGGGCAGGUUGAAGCGGAGGUAAGACUUCGUGGAGGACCGAACCCACCAGGGUUGAAAACCUGGGGGAUGACCUGUGGUUAGGGGUGAAAGGCCAAUCAAACUCCGUGAUAGCUGGUUCUCCCCGAAAUGCAUUUAGGUGCAGCGUCGUGUGUUUCUUGCCGGAGGUAGAGCACUGGAUAGGCGAUGGGCCCUACCGGGUUACUGACCUUAGCCAAACUCCGAAUGCCGGUAAGUGAGAGCGCGGCAGUGAGACUGUGGGGGAUAAGCUCCAUGGUCGAGAGGGAAACAGCCCAGAGCAUCGACUAAGGCCCCUAAGCGUACGCUAAGUGGGAAAGGAUGUGGAGUCGCAGAGACAACCAGGAGGUUGGCUUAGAAGCAGCCACCCUUGAAAGAGUGCGUAAUAGCUCACUGGUCUAGUGAUUCCGCGCCGACAAUGUAGCGGGGCUCAAGCGUACCGCCGAAGUCGUGUCAUUGCGAUAUGUACCCCCAACGGGGAUCGUGAUGGGUAGGGGAGCGUCGUGUGCCGGGUGAAGCAGCACCGGAAGGUAGUUGUGGACGGUUCACGAGUGAGAAUGCAGGCAUGAGUAGCGAUUCACACGUGAGAAACGUGUGCGCCGAUUGACUAAGGGUUCCUGGGUCAAGCUGAUCUGCCCAGGGUAAGUCGGGACCUAAGGCGAGGCCGACAGGCGUAGUCGAUGGAUAACCGGUUGAUAUUCCGGUACCCGCUGUGAAGCGUCAAACAUCGAGCAUCGUGAUGCUAAGGCCGUGAAGCCGCCCUGGAGCCUUCGGGCAAAGGGGAGUGGUGGAGCCGCUGAACCAAGCGGUUAGUAGGUGAGUGAUGGGGUGACGCAGGAAGGUAGUCCAUCCCGGGCGGUGGUUGUCCCGGGGUAAGGGUGUAGGCCGUGAUCCAGGCAAAUCCGGAUCACACAAGGCUGAGACCUGAUGCCGAGCCGAUUGUGGUGAAGUGGAUGAUCCUAUGCUGUCGAGAAAAGCCUCUAGCGAGUUUCAUGGCGGCCCGUACCCUAAACCGACUCAGGUGGUCAGGUAGAGAAUACCGAGGCGUUCGGGUGAACUAUGGUUAAGGAACUCGGCAAAAUGCCCCCGUAACUUCGGGAGAAGGGGGGCCACACUCGGUGAUCCGAUUUACUCGGUGAGCUGGGGGUGGCCGCAGAGACCAGCGAGAAGCGACUGUUUACUAAAAACACAGGUCCGUGCGAAGCCGUAAGGCGAUGUAUACGGACUGACGCCUGCCCGGUGCUGGAACGUUAAGGGGACCGGUUAGCUCAGAUUCGUCUGGGCGAAGCUGAGAACUUAAGCGCCAGUAAACGGCGGUGGUAACUAUAACCAUCCUAAGGUAGCGAAAUUCCUUGUCGGGUAAGUUCCGACCUGCACGAAUGGCGUAACGACUUCUCGACUGUCUCAACCAUAGGCCCGGUGAAAUUGCACUACGAGUAAAGAUGCUCGUUUCGCGCAGCAGGACGGAAAGACCCCGGGACCUUUACUACAGUUUGAUAUUGGUGUUCGGUUCGGCUUGUGUAGGAUAGCUGGGAGACUGUGAACUCUGGACGCCAGUUCAGGGGGAGUCGUCGUUGAAAUACCAGUCUGGUCGUGCUGGAUGUCUAACCUGGGUCCGUGAUCCGGAUCAGGGACAGUGUCUGAUGGGUAGUUUAACUGGGGCGGUUGCCUCCUAAAGAGUAACGGAGGCGCCCAAAGGUUCCCUCAGCCUGGUUGGCAAUCAGGUGUUGAGUGUAAGUGCACAAGGGAGCUUGACUGUGAGACCGACGGGUCGAGCAGGGACGAAAGUCGGGACUAGUGAUCCGGCGGUGGCUUGUGGAAGCGCCGUCGCUCAACGGAUAAAAGGUACCCCGGGGAUAACAGGCUGAUCUUCCCCAAGAGUCCAUAUCGACGGGAUGGUUUGGCACCUCGAUGUCGGCUCGUCGCAUCCUGGGGCUGGAGUCGGUCCCAAGGGUUGGGCUGUUCGCCCAUUAAAGCGGUACGCGAGCUGGGUUUAGAACGUCGUGAGACAGUUCGGUCCCUAUCCGCUGUGCGCGUAGGAAUAUUGAGAAGGGCUGUCCCUAGUACGAGAGGACCGGGACGGACGAACCUCUGGUGUGCCAGUUGUUCUGCCAAGGGCAUGGCUGGUUGGCUACGUUCGGGAGGGAUAACCGCUGAAAGCAUCUAAGCGGGAAGCCUGCUUCGAGAUGAGUAUUCCCACCUCCUUGAGAGGGUAAGGCUCCCAGUAGACGACUGGGUUGAUAGGCCGGAUAUGGAAGCACGGUAACGUGUGGAGUUGACCGGUACUAAUAGGCCGAGGGCUUGUCCUC
rnacentral:rRNA from 1 species